AUAGAUCUUAAUAUAUUUAGUAAUUAAUUGAGUUAAAACUUAAUUUUUGAUUAUUAUGAAAUUUAUUUAAUUGGGGUGAUUAAGAGAUAAAUGGAACUCUUUCUAAAUUUUAAUGAUAUAAUUAGUUGUAUGAUCCACAAAUAGUGAUUAUAAGAUUAAAUUACCUUAGGGAUAACAGCAUAAUUCUUUUUGAGAGUUCAUAUUGAAAAAAGAGAUUGUGACCUCGAUGUUGGAUUAAGAUUAGUUAUGGGUGUAGAUGUUCAAUAACUAGGUCUGUUCGACCUUAAAAUUCUUACA
rnacentral:rRNA from 1 species